rnacentral:rRNA from 1 species
UACGUAGGGUGCAAGCGUUAAUCGGAAUUACUGGGCGUAAAGGGCGCGUAGGCGGCGCAACAAGUCACUUGUGAAAUCUCCGGGCUUAACCCGGAGCGGCCAAGUGAUACUGUCGUGCUAGAGUGCGGAAGGGGCUACUGGAAUUCUCGGUGUAGCGGUGAAAUGCGUAGAUAUCGAGAGGAACACCUGCGGCGAAGGCGGGUAGCUGGGCCGACACUGACGCUGAGGCGCGAAAGCCAGGGGAGCGAACGGG